CCAAAGUUCUCCGCAGAAGCCCAAUGGUAGUGGAGCCCCACAGGGGUGACCUGAGAUCACAUGUAUGUGGCAACAGCAGAACCCAAGAGGGCCAUCGUUCGGUCCUGCUGUUCUUUGCAUUCCACGUGUUCUCAGGUCGCCCCUGCAGGGCUUUCCUCUAUCGCACAAUCGCGCUUAUAAUUCGGUGAGAUAAACAAGUAGAUAUAGUCCCUCCCCUCGUGUGGAAGUCUUUCUAAGAACAAAUAUUGGCCUUGUCUCGAGUCCCCAAUGUCAGGGUUGACUUUUGUUCCUCUUUGUAUCUCUCCAAUGAUGAAUUCGUUUGAUACAUGGCUGGAGGGUAAUGUGGCAUCACAAGACACAAAAGAGUUGGAAACAACCCAAUAGGCGUCCUCUUGAAGAUGGUUGAGUGUGCGACCGGCUGAGGAUUGAAUACUUUAUAAAUGAAUCCCAAAUUUGGACGUCCAUUGGAACAACUUUCAUAAAGGAACAUGGGUUGAUAAGCAGCUGGAAUUGGCUUCAUUGGACCAUACUUGCUUGAUUAACCAAUAAAACAAGAAAACUAAAGGGUUGUUUCAUAAGCAUUUCAUUUUCAAGUUUUAGUUUCCAUUUUCACUUCUUUUGGUAACGUAUUUUGUUUUUAGUUUUCAAAAGAGUGAAAAUUUGUUUUCAAAAUCACCCUUAAUUUUUAAAAUAACUUGAAAGUGUUUUCAUUUAAAAUUUUUUUUUUUUUGCUCCUUUUUCAUUCACUAAGUGUAUAUCACCACACAUGAAAUUCACUCCAAUUGCCAAAAUUCAGUAUUUGGGACCUCCCCUAACUUGGAAUCUACCACUUGAUUCUUGCCUACACUCUCAUGUAUUUACAUGAGACACAUCCUCGAUUAGGACAUGACUAUAUUGCAUUGUCAAAGAUUAACAACAUAUCCAUAAGACAAACGUGGUACCUCAAGUCUGACUACUUUGCAUUAUGACAACUUAGAGUUCUUGUUUGACAUAUAAGUAAAAAUUCCAUACAAGAACUCUUGUUUGACAACUCAGACUAGUCAUUGUCCGUACAUGAAUGACAUGAGACUAGUCAUUGUCAUUGUGUACUAGUCUUUACAAAUCAUUAAUGCCCAUUUAGCAAUCCUUUAACUAAGGACUAUUUUGGAUACGAGGAUUAGAAUGGAAGAUCUCUUCAAUCGAAUAUCCUGAAUUGUAUUUGCUCAGAUUGAAUUUUGUAAAAUGCUUAAUGUGGAUUCAAUUAUAUGCAUUGAAGACUAUGAAAUGUUGUACGACACUUAAUGUGGAUCGUAAAAUAUUAACUCCAAUAAAAAAUCGUAUUAAAUAGGAUUGAUUAAAAAUCAUUGAUUUUGACCCGAUGUACAACCUAGGCCACCCACAUAUACCCUCUUCCUCCAAGUACAAUUUUAUUUGGAUGCCAGUCAACAUUUAUAAAGUAAAUUUGGGAUCAC